UCGGGGGCGACGGGAUCUGGGGACCUCCCAGCCGCCGCACGGGGGCGACUCAGGAGGAUGAGGACGAGGAGUCCUUAAAGUAUCCGGGUGAUACAGCUUCAGCAUAUCCAUUUUGGUAUGAAAAGACUCAAUUUUCAAGUUGAACAAUGGCAAUGAUUUCCAUUUACCGUUCCUUGGAUAUGGCGUGCAUUGAAUGGAUAAUACAGUUUGGUAUGACUGAUUAACUUAUUUUUCCUGCAGGUACCUAGAGUUAUGUUCCGGUAGCUGUGGGCUGUGGUCAGUGUAGAAAUUGGCCCUCCAUGUAGUCAGAAUGAAUUUGUAUCCGCUUCCGAUAACUGCUGCUGCUGUUAUUUCAGUAAUCUGUGUGGAACAAGUCAAAUCGACAUUGCUUGCAUUUGUGCCGCGUGGUGUCUGCUGUUGACUCUCGUAUUUGACUCGAAUUAAUGUUAUUGUCUGGCACAUCUUGUUAUGAGGUA
rnacentral:lncRNA from 1 species